rnacentral:rRNA from 1 species
AACGCGAAGAACCUUACCAGGUCUUGACAUCCUCUGACAAUCCUAGAGAUAGGACUUUCCCUUCGGGGACGUAAGUGACAGGUGGUGAUGGUUGUCGUCAGCUCGUGUCGUGAGAUGUUGGGUUAAGUCCCGCAACGAGCGCAACCCUUGAUCUUAGUUGCCAGCAUUCAGUUGGGCACUCUAAGGUGGACUGCCGGUGACAAACCGGAGGAAGGUGGGGUUGACGUCAAAUCAUCAUGCCCCCUAGUACCUGGGCUACACACGUGCUACAAUGGAUGGUACAAAGGGCUGCAAAACCGCGAGGUUAAGCGAUAUCCCAUAAAACCAUUCUCAGUUCGGAUUGUAGGCUGCAACUCGCCUACAUGAAGCUGGAAUCGCUAGUAAUCGCGGAUCAGCAUGCCGCGGUGAAUACGUUCCCGGGUCUUGUACACACCG